ACCAAGUGUUGACCUGAGUGCUGGCAAAAGAGCCCUUCCAGUAGGGGGCAGUGUGGCCUUGACCCGUUCUGUGAACCCGUCAUCAUCUGGUUGGAAUCACUAUCGGUACAGAGGCAAGAAAAACCUCUGAACCUCUGACGAGACAAGAUGCGGGUUCCCACCCAAGUGGACAAAGUGUCAGUAUCUCACAGGAAGGACUGCACUACUGGUGCAGAGGAGGAAGAGGAAACCCAGUUUACUACACAGAGUACAGUCACUCAGUCAGUAUUCACAAAAUUGAUUUUCAUCCAUCGGCGUCUCUCACAGUGAGUCCUGACAGAGUGCAGCACUUCAAGUCUGACUCCGUCUCACUGAGCUGUGAGGGAAACUCUACUGAGUGGACACUGAUGAGGUUUCCUGAGGGCGACUACUGGUCACACUGCUCUUACUGGGAGAGGAGAAUGACUGGAUCCACGUGCAACAUCCAUAGUCAUAAUCCUGAGCGAGUCACAUCCAAGCCGUGGAAACAUUUCUCGGAAGCACAACGACAGUGUCAGUGCUGGAUGUAGACAUGGGGCACACUUUGUUCUGUGUGCUGUCAUUAUUCUUGCUGAAUACACUCUUCUAUGGAAAGGCUGAAGAUAAAUCCAAACCUGUCCUGACUGUGUCUCCAUUAUGGCCGAGUCCUGGAGCCUCAGUAACUCUGAGCUGCAGGGUUCAAGUCCCAUCUGCAGGGUGGAGGUUCUACUGGUAUAAGGCUGUUCCCAACCAAUCAAAAUACUCCUACAGCUACGAGCUGCUACCUGGUAACACCAACGGGACCGAACAGGAUUCCUACAUCGUCCAUGGGCCGACACACACAGCAGGAUAUGUGUGUAGAGCUGGAAGAGGAGACCCAGUGUAUUACACUCAACGUAGUGAACCAAAGUUUGUCUGGUCUGGAGGUGAGU